rnacentral:rRNA from 1 species
GAUGAAUGCUGGCGGCGUGCCUAAUACAUGCAAGUCGAGCGAACGGACGAGAAGCUUGCUUCUCUGAUGUUAGCGGCGGACGGGUGAGUAACACGUGGAUAACCUACCUAUAAGACUGGGAUAACUUCGGGAAACCGGAGCUAAUACCGGAUAAUAUUUUGAACCGCAUGGUUCAAAAGUGAAAGACGGUCUUGCUGUCACUUAUAGAUGGAUCCGCGCUGCAUUAGCUAGUUGGUAAGGUAACGGCUUACCAAGGCAACGAUGCAUAGCCGACCUGAGAGGGUGAUCGGCCACACUGGAACUGAGACACGGUCCAGACUCCUACGGGAGGCAGCAGUAGGGAAUCUUCCGCAAUGGGCGAAAGCCUGACGGAGCAACGCCGCGUGAGUGAUGAAGGUCUUCGGAUCGUAAAACUCUGUUAUUAGGGAAGAACAUAUGUGUAAGUAACUGUGCACAUCUUGACGGUACCUACUCAGAAAGCCACGGCUAACUACGUG